rnacentral:rRNA from 1 species
UACGGGGGGGGCAAGCGUUGUUCGGAAUUACUGGGCGUAAAGGGCGCGUAGGCGGUUGGAUAAGUCAGCUGUGAAAACCACGGGCUUAACUCGUGGCCUGCAGUUGAGACUGUCUGGCUUGAGUGUGGGAGAGGAGAGUGGAAUUCCUGGUGUAGCGGUGAAAUGCGUAGAUAUCAGGAGGAACACCGGUGGCGAAGGCGGCUCUCUGGACCACAACUGACGCUGAGGCGCGAAAGCUAGGGGAUCAAACAGG